rnacentral:rRNA from 1 species
UACGUAGGGUCCGAGCGUUAAUCGGAAUUACUGGGCGUAAAGCGUGCGCAGGCGGCUUUGCAAGACAGAUGUGAAAUCCCCGGGCUCAACCUGGGAACUGCAUUUGUGACUGCAUGGCUGGAGUGUGGCAGAGGGGGAUGGAAUUCCGCGUGUAGCAGUGAAAUGCGUAGAUAUGCGGAGGAACACCGAUGGCGAAGGCAAUCCCCUGGGCCUGCACUGACGCUCAUGCACGAAAGCGUGGGGAGCAAACAGG